AGGCAAAGAAACAUUUUAGCUUAGCAGAAGGAAUUGGAGCCGACGUGCGAAGUCAUGGAGUCGCUGCACUAAAAGGACACCGUCAUCAAAGAGCCAGAGAAUCUUGUUCAAAAAACGGACUUUCAAGAGCCAGGUUGCCGAGUUGGAAAUUGGUAACAUUUUUAAUUUAAAUAUUGAAGUUUGUAAACUUUUAUUUUCUUCGCCAUUGCUUCAUAUUUUGAGCCUUAGAAGAGCCUUAGAAUAAUUGUGUGCUUGUAUAUAAGGAUGUCUAAUAUAUGAAAAUGUAUUCUUUACUUUUAAUUUGUAAAGUGUUCAAGCAC